rnacentral:snoRNA from 10 species
AACAUACUUUCUUAGAUCUGGUCUUUGUAGGUGAGAAUCUUGAACCAGAUUCUAUGUGUAAAUUUUCAUUUCUUCUUGUUUCAGUGAAAGAAACAUCCAGCCCCCUUUUGGGUUGUAUAGUCAAAGGUGCUAGCACAUGUGUCACUAGUACGUGAGAUGAAGCAGCUGCAUGCUGGCCCUGGGCCCGAGAAGAAUGACCUGCAAUUAUGCUGCAAUUCUUUAGCACAAAGUUUUGACUGGUGUGCAGACAUU